rnacentral:rRNA from 1 species
UAAGCGGAGGAAAAGAAACCAACAGGGAUUGCCCUAGUAACGGCGAGUGAAGCGGCAACAGCUCAAAUUUGAAAUCUGGCUACCUUUCGUAGUCCGAGUUGUAAUUUGUAGAGGAUGCUUUUGGUGAGGUGCCUUCCGAGUUCCCUGGAACGGGACGCCAUAGAGGGUGAGAGCCCCGUACGGUUGGAUACCAAACCUCUGUAUAGCUCCUUCAACGAGUCGAGUAGUUUGGGAAUGCUGCUCUAAAUGGGAGGUAUAUCUCUUCUAAAGCUAAAUAUAGGCUAGAGACCGAUAGCGCACAAGUAGAGUGAUCGAAAGAUGAAAAGCACUUUGAAAAGAGAGUUAAACAGCACGUGAAAUUGUUGAAAGGGAAGCGCCUAUGACCAGACUUGUUUCUGGCAGUUUCGUUAGCCCUCGGGCUGAUUUACUCUGUCCAGUACAGGCCAGCAUCAGUUUGCUGUCGGGGAGAAAGGCUCUGGGAACGUAGCUCCCCCCUUCUGGGGGGAGUGUUAUAGCCCUCUGCAUAAUACCCUUCGGCAGACUGAGGACCGCGCUUCGGCAAGGAUGCUGGCGUAAUGGUCAUCAGCGACCCGUCUUGAAACACGGACCAAGGAGUCAACCUUAUGUGCGAGUGUUUGGGUGUAAAACCCCAGCGCGUAAUGAAAGUGAACGUAGGUGAGAGCUUCGGCGCAUCAUCGACCGAUUCUGAUGUUUUCGGAUGGAUUUGAGUAAGAGCACACAGGGUUGGACCCGAAAGAAGGUGAACUAUGCUUGUAUAGGGUGAAGCCAGAGGAAACUCUGGUGGAGGCUCGCAGCGGUUCUGACGUGCAAAUCGAUCGUCAAAUAUGAGCAUGGGGGCGAAAG